GAGCUUUUUCCCGACCGCCGUCCGACGACCACAGAACGUCGACACUCGCGUCCGCGCAUCGCACCACAACGCACGUACUACUUCGUCUGUUCUGACCGACCGACGACCAAGUCUCCCGAGACCGAGGCCGAUUUCACAAGUCACUACGUCCAACGCACUCGAUCGCCGACUCGUUUUUUCCGAUAUCGACGAUCGCAUGUCACCGGCCAAAUGUUUCACAUCACAUCGUGAUCAUCAUCUCCGUCGGCGAUCGCUCGCCGCUUUGGGUCACCUCUCUUGCACUUGCACCAGUUAUAAACUGCACUUUCCACUCUCGACUACAGAUUUCAAAAUCACAUACCUAGCCAAUCUCAUUAUUAAAUUGACAAGAAUAUUAUAAUUGCAAAAAAAUAUAAAUCAACGGGGUCGACACCAGAUGACGACGAGAAACAUCACAAUUCUUCAGGUGGACAGGAUUCCACAGCGCACCUUCGUAGACUAACUUGGUUGGCCCCGCGUAUUCUUGGGACAUAACACAUAUUUAAGACUGUUAUUGCUUGAGAAUACACGUAGUUGACAAGUUUAAACUUAUUGUGCUGCAUCGACAAUAAUCUUACUUUUUGUGUAGAAUAAUGUAAUAUAGUUUUUAUUUUUUAGAAUUAAGUGUAACAUCUCAA